UACAGAGGGUGCAAGCGUUAAUCGGAAUUACUGGGCGUAAGGCGUGCGCAGACGGUUGCGUAAGUCAGAUGUGAAAGCCCCGGGCUCAACCUGGGAAUUGCAUUUGAGACUGCGUAGCUAGGGUGCGGAAGAGGGAAGCGGAAUUUCCGGUGUAGCGGUGAAAUGCGUAGAUAUCGGAAGGAACACCAGUGGCGAAAGCGGCUUCCUGGUCCAGCACCGACGUUCAGGCACGAAAGCGUGGGGAGCAAACAGG
rnacentral:rRNA from 1 species